rnacentral:rRNA from 1 species
GACAGAGGAUGCAAGCGUUAUCCGGAAUGAUUGGGCGUAAAGCGUCUGUAGGUGGCUUUUUAAGUCCGCCGUCAAAUCCCAGGGCUCAACCCUGGACAGGCGGUGGAAACUAGCAAGCUUGAGUACGGUAGGGGCAAAGGGAAUUCCCGGUGUAGCGGUGAAAUGCGUAGAUAUCGGGAAGAACACCAAAGGCGAAAGCACUUUGCUGGGCCGUAACUGACGCUGAGGAGCGAAAGCAUGGGGAGCGAACAGG